rnacentral:rRNA from 1 species
GUAGGGAAUAUUGGGCAAUGGAGGCAACUCUGACCCAGCCAUGCCGCGUGCAGGAUGACGGCCCUCUGGGUUGUAAACUGCUUUUAUACGGGAAGAAAAAAUACUACGUGUAGUAUACUGACGGUACCGUAAGAAUAAGGAUCGGCUAACUCCGUGCCAGCAGCCGCGGUAAUACGGAGGAUCCAAGCGUUGUCCGGAUUUAUUGGGUUUAAAGGGUGCGUAGGCGGAUCUUUAAGUCAGUGGUGAAAGUCUGCAGCUUAACUGUAGAAUUGCCAAUGAAACUGAAGAUCAUGAAAGUGGUUAAAGUAAGAAGAAUGUAUCAUGUAGCGGUGAAAUGCUUAGGUAUGAUACAGAACUGCGAUAGCGAAGGCAGCUUGCUGAACCAUUAUUGACGCUGAGGCACGAACGCGUGGGUAGCGAACAGGAGUAGAAACCCUUGUAGUCC